CGACAGAGCAAGACUCUGUCUCAAGAAAGAUAAAAAAAAGAUUGAAGUGUACCUUUUUACAAGCGGUUCCUCUGGAGAAACUGGCUUGACCAAUACGGUGGAGAUCUAUUACCACAGAAACCCCAGUCCCAUAAUGGGGAAGGUCCCACCAGUGCGGAGGCCUCACAUGGGGAUCCCUCCCCCUAGUGAGGAAAUGUACCCCUGAAGAGGCAUCCUCCUGGCCACUGGGCCCACUGCUACCCUGCCACUGCUGGACCCAAAGGAGACAACAUUUAUGAAUGGAGGUCAACUAUAUUGGGACCCCCAGGAUCUGUCUAUGAAGGAGGGGUAUUCUUUCUUGACAUUACCUUUUCACCAGACUAUCCGUUUAAACCC